rnacentral:lncRNA from 10 species
CAGUGGGGCACAAUCCACAGAUCUACCAUCAUUAUGGAAAGAUGGUCCUGCUCUGUUGUGUUUUCAGGAAAAACGAAAGGGCUCCCAGGCCUGCUUGAUGCUUCCAGAUGCCUGGUGACAGGAAUCAAGAACCAGGGAAAGGCCUCAGGAUGCUGAGUUCAGAAAUUGUGAGGAUCGAGGGGUGAGAAAUCGAGAGCAGGUAAUUACCUUGGAGAGAUCAGCAGCAACACCUCCCACUUAGUAACCUCACCCGAACAGAGACAGCUCGGAUGAUAAGAUGAGGAAGCUGGUUCUCGUCAAGAUUAACUGACUUGCCCCAAAUUACACAACCUGUAAAUGCAUAAGGAGGAACCACAUCAAUUAUCUGCCUCUGAGGCACACAUUUAAAACAUUUCCUCUGCUGCUUUCAUUUCCUAAUGUCCUGGGGCCAACCUGAGGCUCAUCUGAGGGAGGUGUCUGAGCUUCAUGCAAGAGGCCUUGAUGUGUUCUAAUGGCUAAUGCAGAGUCUUUGCUCACAUGUCUACAUACUGAGUACCAUGCUGAAUGCCAGCUUAUUGUAAUCUCAGUGCACCAGAGAUCUAUGAGAAUUUGUGACACAGGAAUCUCUGGACUGGGGAAGCUGAGCAAGUUUUCUUUGAAGAGUGAAGGUGAGUUUAUCUGGAAGAAGAGUCAGGAGAAGAAUGGGGUAGAAUAUUGAAGACAGAAGAAACCAAACACGUAAAAACCCUGGAGCAGGCAGAAUGAAUGGAGGUAUACUUAAUUAAUUAAUUAAUUAAACACUUGCAAAC